AUUGAACGCUGGCGGCAUGCCUUACACAUGCAAGUCGAACGGUAACAGGUCUUCGGAUGCUGACGAGUGGCGAACGGGUGAGUAAUACAUCGGAACGUGCCCGAGAGUGGGGGAUAACGAGGCGAAAGCUUUGCUAAUACCGCAUACGAUCUCAGGAUGAAAGCAGGGGACCGCAAGGCCUUGCGCUCACGGAGCGGCCGAUGGCAGAUUAGGUAGUUGGUGGGAUAAAAGCUUACCAAGCCGACGAUCUGUAGCUGGUCUGAGAGGACGACCAGCCACACUGGGACUGAGACACGGCCCAGACUCCUACGGGAGGCAGCAGUGGGGAAUUUUGGACAAUGGGCGCAAGCCUGAUCCAGCCAUGCCGCGUACAGGAUGAAGGCCUUCGGGUUGUAAACUGCUUUUGUACGGAACGAAAAGACUCCUUCUAAUAAAGGGGGUCCAUGACGGUACCGUAAGAAUAAGCACCGGCUAACUACGUGCCAGCCGCCGCGGUAACAC
rnacentral:rRNA from 1 species